UACGGAGGAUGCGAGCGUUAUCCGGAUUUAUUGGGUUUAAAGGGUGCGCAGGCGGAGGCACAAGUCAGCGGUAAAAUCGCGGGGCUCAACCCCGCUCCGCCGUUGAAACUGUGUCCCUUGAGUUCGCGAAGGGUAGGCGGAAUGCGUGGUGUAGCGGUGAAAUGCAUAGAUAUCACGCAGAACUCCGAUCGCGAAGGCAGCCUACCGGCGCGCGACUGACGCUCAUGCACGAAAGCGUGGGUAUCGAACAGG
rnacentral:rRNA from 1 species